UAUGAAGGGGGCUAGCGUUGCUCGGAAUCACUGGGCGUAAAGCGCACGUAGGCGGAUUGUUAAGUCAGGGGUGAAAUCCUGGAGCUCAACUCCAGAACUGCCUUUGAUACUGGCGAUCUUGAGUUCGGGAGAGGUGAGUGGAACUGCGAGUGUAGAGGUGAAAUUCGUAGAUAUUCGCAAGAACACCAGUGGCGAAGGCGGCUCACUGGCCCGAUACUGACGCUGAGGUGCGAAAGCGUGGGGAGCAAACAGGG
rnacentral:rRNA from 1 species